UUGCCGAGUGCCUGCUCGGUGCUUGGGAAAAUGGACUUGAUGUGGCUACGAAGAUAAACAGUGUAGAGUUACCGUCUUCAAAAGGUGUGUCACCCUCUGGGGAAAAUUCAGAUUGGCCACUGGAUACAGUAAAAAGCAGGGUCACAGAAGGCACUGAAUGAAUGUUUCCAGGCAAGGACUCCCGUAACUCCACCUGUCUCAGCACCACAACUGAAGGACUUUGCAAGGACAAUGUAUUAGGACUGCAAAGGAAGUGCAGAGAGAGAGAGAGAGAGCACAAGCAGGCACAGGCAGAGACAGAAGCAGGGUCCCUGCUGGACAAGGAGCCUGAUGCGGGACUCAAUGACAGGACCCUGGAACCAUGACCUGAG